GACGAACGCUGGCGGCGUGCCUAAUACAUGCAAGUCGAGCGGACUGAAUGGGAGCUUGCUCUUGUUCGGUCAGCGGCGGACGGGUGAGUAACACGUGGGCAACCUGCCCGCAAGACCGGGAUAACUCCGGGAAACCGGAGCUAAUACCGGAUAACACCGAAGACCGCAUGGUCUUUGGUUGAAAGGCGGCGCACGCUGCCACUUGCGGAUGGGCCCGCGGCGCAUUAGCUAGUUGGUGAGGUAACGGCUCACCAAGGCGACGAUGCGUCGCCGGCCUGAGAGGGUGGCCGGCCACACUGGGAGUGAGACACGGCCCAGACUCCUAAGGGAGGCAGCAGUAGGGAAGCUUCCGCAAGGGGCGAGAGCCUGACGGAGCGACGCCGCGUGAGCGAAGAAGGCCUUCGGGUCGUAAAGCUCUGUUGUGAGGGACGAAGGAGCGCCGGUUGAAGAAGGCGGCGCGGUGACGGUACCUCACGAGGAAGCCCCGGCUAACUACGUG
rnacentral:rRNA from 1 species